AGUGAACGCUGGCGGUAGGCCUAACACAUGCAAGUCGAACGGCAGCACAGAGGAACUUGCUCCUUGGGUGGCGAGUGGCGGACGGGUGAGGAAUACAUCGGAAUCUACUCUGUCGUGGGGGAUAACGUAGGGAAACUUACGCUAAUACCGCAUACGACCUACGGGUGAAAGCAGGGGAUCUUCGGACCUUGCGCGAUUGAAUGAGCCGAUGUCGGAUUAGCUAGUUGGCGGGGUAAAGGCCCACCAAGGCGACGAUCCGUAGCUGGUCUGAGAGGGUGAUCAGCCACACUGGAACUGAGACACGGUCCAGACUCCUACGGGAGGCAGCAGUGGGGAAUAUUGGACAAUGGGCGCAAGCCUGAUCCAGCCAUACCGCGUGGGUGAAGAAGGCCUUCGGGUUGUAAAGCCCUUUUGUUGGGAAAGAAAUCCAUCUGGUUAAUACCCGGGUGGGAUGAGGGUACCCAAAGAAUAAGCACCGGCUAACUUCGUGCCAGCCGCCGCCGUAA
rnacentral:rRNA from 1 species